GAAUUUAAAAAGCAAGUGGCCCUAGGAUCUGUCACCCCACUGAUAGCCAGGGUUGAUCUGGCUCAUCUCUCUGGUUAGGCAGGUGUCCCCUUCCUCCCUCACCACUCCCCAUGUAUCCUUCCCAAAACUGUGCACUCAGUGAGAGGGGAAGACCUUACAGAGGAGGACUGUUCUCUGCUCAAGGGUAUAUGAGUGGCUAUGAACCUCCAAACAAGCUCUCAAGGUCCAUUUGGAAAAGAACAUAGAGGAGUCUAUCUUCCAAGACUCCAGACACAUCCAAAUGAGGCACUGGAUAGUCUGCCUUUCUUU
rnacentral:snRNA from 1 species